GAUGAACGCUGGCGGCGUGCUUAACACAUGCAAGUCGAACGAUGAAGCCCAGCUUGCUGGGUGGAUUAGUGGCGAACGGGUGAGUAACACGUGAGUAACCUGCCCUUGACUCUAGGAUAAGCCCGGUAAACUGGGUCUAAUACUGGAUAGGAACGUCUACCGCAUGGUGGGUGUUGGAAAGAAUUUCGGUCAUGGCUGGACUCGCGGCCUAUCAGCUUGUUGGUGAGGUAAUGGCUCACCAAGGCGACGACGGGUAGCCGGCCUGAGAGGGUGACCGGCCACACUGGGACUGAGACACGGCCCAGACUCCUACGGGAGGCAGCAGUGGGGAAUAUUGCACAAUGGGCGAAAGCCUGAUGCAGCGACGCCGCGUGAGGGAUGACGGCCUUCGGGUUGUAAACCUCUUUCAGUAGGGAAGAAGCGAAAGUGACGGUACCUGCAGAAGAAGCACCGGCUAACUACGUG
rnacentral:rRNA from 1 species